CCUCCUCAACCAUCUGUGAGACAGUCAGCUGAAGUUGUGAAGACUUGAAGGUGUGAUAACCGUAGCCAUGCUGAAGGCAGUAUUUGUGCUUGGAUGUCUCCUGAGCCUCACUCUGGCUCAUCCUCUAAGUAUGUUUAAAGGACAUCGUCGGCCAUUCCGUCCCCAUCGCUUUCCUAACUUUCACCAUGGCCCUCACCAUGGAUCUCACCAUGGAUCUCACCAUGGCUCUCACCAUGGCUCUCAUCAUGGAUCUCACCAUGGCUCUCACAGUGGUUCUCAUUCCCAUGAGUGUCCCACCACCAAGACUACAACAACAUCAGUAGCUCCAACAACUAAAGCAGCAUGUGGAACAACAACAACAGCUGCACCAACAACUGCUGCAACAGCUGCAACAAGUACUACAACAGCUGCAUCAACAACUGCAACAACAGCUGCAUCAACAACUACAACAGCUG